AAACAGAGACCAGAAAGGAGCUUGCCAAUCCUGGGCUAGGCUGUUUGCUUUGCUACACGGAAGCCUCAGCAGCUCAGGGUAUGACUGGGCCGGGGGGUUCUAGGGAGCUGAAUCAAAAUGCCUUUUUUACAGAACACAACAGAGUUUAAGUUGGAGAAUUCACAAGGCCUGCCAAACCUGAAUCAUUGGAACAUUCAAACAACUGAAUUGUCACACAGAGCCCCGUAGAAUAAAGUGAUCGACAACCAGAGGGAGAGCUCCCAUGUUCCUCCUCGAGCAGUUUCUUGUUCCAAGAUACCUUUAAGUACACUGGGUCCACACACAGAUAAAUAUGUUUCUCAAGGAUGCUGCAAAAAUCCAACUAUCCAGAGCCUAGACGAACUGGAGUGCCAGAGAAGGUUCAUAAAGAGAGUUUACAAUUCUAAAAGCUAGAUCCUGCUGUCCACAAAGGCUCUGAGCGGGAGCCAUGUUCUUUCUUUGUUAAAUAAUGAGCUUACAACUGGAAGAGAGAGAUUAAAGACAUACUAGUACCAAAUGGAAACUUUCUCCUUGGCUUUAUCGGAAGGAUUAAAACCGACUGAAAAUGGAAUUGCUUCAACAUCAAAUCGCAAUAAUGAGAACUGGUGAAUGAUUUAUGAACCACCUAAAAAUCCUCUUCCAACACACCAGUGAGUGGUACGAGCUUCCGUACUGGGGAACUGGGCACAAGGAGACUUGAAGAGACCUCUCUGCGGACUAGGUUGUAUCCCUGACUCCAGAGCACGGCACUCCUAAUGAUGACAGCCUACUGUGUACACACAUGCCAGUAGACAAAUAAUCAACGGACUAGACUCUCUAUUCUUGGCCCCCAAAGCAAGAGGGCUCCUGUGCCAUGGGUUGUUAAGCCUGCAGAAGACAGCAGAAAAAUCAGACUGGCAGCUCCAACGUCAGCCUCCCUCCCAGGCCUGCCUUUGCCCACACCAUCGAGGACCAGCUCCGCGGCCGCUUACAUGCAGCUGCCUUUCUACAACCUAAGUUCAGAGUUUACUCAGUUACCAAUGAACUACUAUAGGAUAAAUACUGGAAGCAUAUCAUUCAAAUGCUUUAUUGGUCAAAAAGAUGGAUGCUUUUAUUAGUCCAACCUUUUUUGUAAUGGAGUGCCACUGAUGACCCAGCAUUAGCCUCAUUCCCUGCUAUUAAUCACACUUCUAAGAGCUCAUUUUGCCUUAAAAUCUUAAGAAAUUGCUAUAAUUUAAAGACAUGGUGUCUACAUAAUGGGAAAUGCCUCAUAAUUGUAUCAUUUCACAAAAUACAGUAUUUUUUAUGGGAACAAUGACCAUGAUGCUAAGGUAUUGCAAAAUGGGAAUCAUUUAUAUAUAUAAAAGAAAAGAGAGAUGUAAGCUGUCUUUGUAUUUGUGGCUUCCCACAUCUGUACACUUUAAUCAUUACCUUUGGGAGGCUGAUUAAUCGAAAAGCACAGGCAUAUACACCAUUUACGGAGUUAAAAGCAAAAUAACAUCCCCAAACAAAUGAAAAAUAUCAAUGAAAGGGAGAAAACCUAAUGUACAAAGAUAGAAGAGAUGUGAAAACACAUCGCGUGCUCUAAGGAAAUUUCAUCAGUGGUAUAUUCCUUAUUCAUCAUCUAUAGUUCCUGGGCCUUGUCUGUCCAUGCCAAGAGAACUAAAGCAAGCUCUUCAAAUAAGUGACUUCAGGACAAACUACAGGUAUCUGCCAAUUUACUUUCAGUAUUAUUUCAAUAAUAUAAUGAUGCCCUUAGCUUGUAAGUCCUCAUCUCAUUAAACCACCCUUCAUGAACAUUAAGCACAGCCGAAUACUAUAAAGGAAAGCAUAUUUGAAAGAGUGUUUCAAAAUACAGAGCUAAAAUAAAUCUUUUUAAAAGUGCCCCUUCAAUUUUUACUACUACACAAUUAGAACACAACAUAUGCAAGUCCUCAAAUCGUGCAUCCACACAAAAAUGGUGACAUUAUGUUACGUGAUGAAUGAAGGGUAGGCUCCAAUCAGGCACAAAGAUUAUGAAUAGGUUUGGUGUUGAAUGGCUGUGGAGAACAGACCAUCAGUCAGCCUUAAGAGAAGAAUGUGGGGAUCAUCCUACAGUUAGCAAGGGUCGACUCAGAAACUGUGCAACAGCCAGAGGCUGGAGACCAGGGUUAGGUGGGGCUGAGUAUCAGAGGGCUCGGUGAUUACGUCAUCGGAACUCGGAGUGAGAGGCCCCUGCUAGCAGAGAUAAGCUCCCCCAUGUGGUGUCAGAUGGUCACCGUAAACACCUAGUUCUUGCACCCCCUGCUCUGAGUUGUGAAAAGGCCAACUUCUCUCCCUAUUUCUCAAGAGCUAGAGGGAAGUGCUGACCCAGAGAGGAUAUUUAGGAAAAAGCUGUC